rnacentral:rRNA from 1 species
UACGUAGGGUGCAAGCGUUAAUCGGAAUUACUGGGCGUAAAGGGCGCGUAGGCGGCCUGCUAAGUCGAACGUGAAAUCCCCGGGCUCAACCCGGGAACUGCGUCCGAUACUGGUUGGCUUGAAUCCGGGAGAGGGAUGCGGAAUUCCAGGUGUAGCGGUGAAAUGCGUAGAUAUCUGGAGGAACACCGGUGGCGAAGGCGGCGUUCUGGACUGUUACUGACACUGAGGAACGAAAGCCAGGGGAGCAAACGGG